rnacentral:rRNA from 1 species
AAUGAACGCUGGCGGCAUGCCUAAUACAUGCAAGUCGAGCGAGCGGCGGACGGGUGAGUAAUGCGUGGGAAACCGCCCGAUGGAGGGGGAUAACUACUGGAAACGGUAGCUAAUACCGCAUAUCCUCUGAUGUGCACAGGUGGGAUUAGCUAGUGGGUGGGGUAACGGCUUACCAAGGCGACGAUCCCUAGCUGGUCUGAGAGGAUGACCGGCCACACUGGAACUGAGACACGGUCCAGACUCCUACGGGAGGCAGCAGUGGGGAAUAUUGCACAAUGGGCGAAAGCCUGAUGCAGCCAUGCCGCGUGUGUGAAGAAGGCCUUCGGGUUGUAAAGCACUUUCAGCGGGGAGGCGUUACCCGCAGAAAAAGCACCGGCUAACUCCGUGCCAGCAGCCGCGGUAAUAC